GGAGAUGCAGGGUGGAAAUGGAGGGUGGUGAUGGACAGCAGAGAUGAAUGGUUGUGAUGGAUGGUGGAGAUGGAGGGUGGAAAUGGUGGGUGAUGGAGGGUGGAGAUGGUGAGUGGUGAUAGAAGGUGGAGAUGAAUGGUGGCGAUGGACGGUGGAAAUGGAAGAUGGAGAUGGAGGGUGGAUGGAGGGUGGAGAUGGUGAGUGGUGAUACAGGGUGGAGAUAAAUGGUGGUAAUGGACAUAGAGAUGGACGGUGGAAAUGGAGGAUGGUGAUGGUUGUACAACAAUGUGAAUGCACUUGAUGUCACUCAACUGUUCACUUAAAAAUGGCAAACAUAGUAGUUUUUAUGUUACAUAUAUUUUACUACAAUAAAAAAAGAAUGAAAAGCCUAUAAAAUUCUGAAAAAUAAAAAAGGGGGCUUUAGCCCUGCCAGAGAGUAGAAUCCAUCAUAGAACAUCUUGCUAUGGGCAGUUGACUGGACACACACAUCAGAGCAGGUCUGUGUGAUCAUUUAGCAUAUGAUUAAUGGGGCAUUUAAAAUCCACGAGGGGCCGGGCGCAGUGGCUCACGCCCGUAAUCCCAGCACUUUGGGAGGCCGAGGCGGGUGGAUCACCUGAGGUCAGCAGUUCGAGACCAGCCUAACUAACAUGGGGAAACCCUGUCUCUACUAAAAAUACAAAAAAUAGCUGGGCAUGGUGGUGGGUGGCUGUAAUCCCAGCUACUGAGGUGGCUGAGGUGGGAGAAUCACUUGAACCUGGAAGCGGAGGUUGCAGUGAGCCAAGAUCGUGCCACUUCUCUCCAGCCUGAGCAACAAAGCGAGACUCUGUCUCAAAAAAUAAAUUAAUUAAUAAAUAAAUAAAUCCAUGAGGGAAAGGAUGUCAUUUAAAAAAGGGUGUGGCCAGGCACGGUGGCUCAUGCCUAUAACCAGCACUUUGGAGGCCGAGGCAGGUGGAUCACCUGAGGUCAGGAGUUUGAGACUGGCCUGGCCAGCAUGGUGAAACUCUGUCUCUACUAAAAAAAAAGGACAAAAUUAGCUGGAUGUGGUGGCGCAUGCCUGUAAUCCCAGCUACUUGGGAGGCUGAGGCAGGAGAAUCGCUUGAACCUGGGAGGCAGAGAUUGCAGUGAGCCUAGAUUACGCCAUUGUACUUCAGUCUGGGCAACGAGCGAAACUCCAUCUCAAAAAAAAUAAAAAUAAUAAUAAAAUAAUAAUAAAGGGUGGUGGAGC
rnacentral:lncRNA from 1 species